CAAGCUGGCUUCCUGCCAGUUCACUUCAGAUCCCAGGAACUGUGUCUUGUGAGGGGAACACAGGAGGACUAGUGUUAUGUUGGCAGGUCAGGCACACCAGGGCUGUUCUCAGGGUGACCUGUCAGCAGCGGGACCAGGACUGAGGACUUAGAAACCCCUCCUCUCAUUUCAUUCUCAGACAAGGGAAGACUUACCUAGUGCUUCUCAUUCUGAACUCACUCUCUCUUCUUUGGGUGUAGGAUGGCCCCAACACGUUGAAACGAUAAAUUCCUCUUGCUUUUUGCAUCAAUUCCUGGCUCUGUGUGGUUCGCUCAGGGGUCCCACAGUAAGCUAAGGCUCGCCAGAGUCUUACAGGGUCAGUAAAGUAACUUCUUACAUUGUAAAACUCUGUUAAAGAUUCCAGUAAAGAAUCCUUCCCUCCUUCCACAUGCCAUUUCCUGUGGUGUUCAACUAAUUCAGGGGGGGGGGAGCCCUUUGCUAGGGGCAGAUAGAUACAACAGACACACACAGGCACAAAACACACAAGGACAGACAGAUCAGACACACACAGGGACAGACUGCAGGUGGAAGGAGAGAUGGAGAGUUUGGGUUUGAGUCCACUGGUUACUGUCAUUCCAUGUGUUAUGGGCAUGUAUGAUGUGUGCCCUGUGCAUGCAUGGGCGUGUACACACCACAGUUUCCCUUUUCUCCAGCAACCUACGGAUUUGUCACUCAGCACUUUGUUUUGAAAACCUGCUAUACUUGUCAGACCAUUAUUUAAUUUUUUUUAAAAAUGGCUACCUCUUGUGCUAAUAGAAGAUUUUACUUUCUCAUUUCUCUUGUGGUCUCUGGGGAGACAGUUCCCAGUUCUCUGACAAUGCGAGUCCAUGGUGUGGAGACAGCUCUUCUCCUGGCCCUUUCAGAUGGGUUGGAAGUUCCCCCAUUCAAAAAAGAAGCAAACUUGGCGGAAAUAGGAUUUUAUUUUUACUGUAGUGAACACCAACAAUCCCUACUCUGUUCUCAGCAGCAGCAGAAUAUGGGAGAGUGUGAGCUUCUCCCACCCACUCUCCCAACAGGACU
rnacentral:lncRNA from 1 species